GAUGAACGCUGGCGGCGUGCUUAACACAUGCAAGUCGAACGGAAAGGCCCAAGCUUGCUUGGGUACUCGAGUGGCGAACGGGUGAGUAACACGUGGGUGAUCUGCCCUGCACUUCGGGAUAAGCCUGGGAAACUGGGUCUAAUACCGGAUAGGACCACAUUUUGGAUGGUGUGGUGGAAAGUUUUUCGGUGUGGGAUGAGCUCGCGGCCUAUCAGCUUGUUGGUGGGGUAAUGGCCUACCAAGGCGUCGACGGGUAGCCGGCCUGAGAGGGUGUACGGCCACAUUGGGACUGAGAGACGGCCCAGACUCCUACGGGAGGCAGCAGUGGGGAAUAUUGCACAAUGGGCGCAAGCCUGAUGCAGCGACGCUGCGUGGGGGAUGACGGCCUUCGGGUUGUAAACUCCUUUCGCUAGGGACGAAGCGUUAUGUGACGGUACCUGGAGAAGAAGCACCGGCUAACUACGUG
rnacentral:rRNA from 1 species